rnacentral:rRNA from 1 species
UACGUAGGUGGCAAGCGUUAUCCGGAAUUAUUGGGCGUAAAGAGCGCGCAGGUGGUUGAUUAAGUCUGAUGUGAAAGCCCACGGCUUAACCGUGGAGGGUCAUUGGAAACUGGUCGACUUGAGUGCAGAAGAGGGAAGUGGAAUUCCAUGUGUAGCGGUGAAAUGCGUAGAGAUAUGGAGGAACACCAGUGGCGAAGGCGGCUUCCUGGUCUGUAACUGACGCUGAUGUGCGAAAGCGUGGGGAUCAAACAGGAUUAGAUACCCCGGUA